AUUGAACGCUGGCGGCAGGCCUAACACAUGCAAGUCGAGCGGAUGAAGGGAGCUUGCUCCUGGAUUCAGCGGCGGACGGGUGAGUAAUGCCUAGGAAUCUGCCUGGUAGUGGGGGAUAGCGUCCGGAAACGGGCGCUAAUACCGCAUACGUCCUGAGGGAGAAAGUGGGGGAUCUUCGGACCUCACGCUAUCAGAUGAGCCCAGGUCGGAUUAGCUAGUUGGUGGGGUAAAGGCCUACCAAGGCGACGAUCCGUAACUGGUCUGAGAGGAUGAUCAGUCACACUGGAACUGAGACACGGUCCAGACUCCUACGGGAGGCAGCAGUGGGGAAUAUUGGACAAUGGGCGAAAGCCUGAUCCAGCCAUGCCGCGUGUGUGAAGAAGGUCUUCGGAUUGUAAAGCACUUUAAGUUGGGAGGAAGGGCAGUAAGUUAAUACCUUGCUGUUUUGACGUUACCAACAGAAUAAGCACCGGCUAACUUCGUG
rnacentral:rRNA from 1 species